UACGAAGGGGGCUAGCGUUGUUCGGAAUUACUGGGCGUAAAGCGCGCGCAGGCGGCUAUCCAAGUCAGUGGUGAAAGCCCGGAGCUCAACUCCGGAACUGCCAUUGAAACUGUUUAGCUUGAGUAUGAGAGAGGUGAGUGGAAUUCCCAGUGUAGAGGUGAAAUUCGUAGAUAUUGGGAAGAACACCGGUGGCGAAGGCGGCUCGCUGGGUCAUUACUGACGCUCAGGCGCGACAGCGUGGGGAGCAAACAGG
rnacentral:rRNA from 1 species